rnacentral:lncRNA from 1 species
GUACUGGGACGAUUCCGCGGAGCCGGGCAGAGGUUUUAGGGGUGCGCAGGAGUCAAGUGGUGGUUCAGUGGGGACGGAAUGAUUAACAAAGGCGUCCGAAGAAAUCGUUGUUGGAAGGUGACCAAGGUGGAAAGAGACGUUGCUUUGGCCCUGCAAGUAAGAAGAGAGAGGGAAUAGCCUGAAGGAGUAACACUAAAUUUAAAAUGACACUUUUUUACCAACCAGCGAAAGCAGAUGUUCAAAGGGGAUAUUGGCCAGAGUCUGUCACACUAAGAUGAGAAAUGUCCUUUCUUCCUGAAGGUGUCUGAUGUGUAAAAAUAUGAUAUACUUUGUGCUGUUUCCUCCCUUCCCUUUUGCAUAUUAUUCUGAAACAACAUUAACUAGUUACUUUGCGUCAUUGAAGAACUCACUUUGAGGCCAAGCGUGGUUGCUCAGGCCUGUAAUCCCAGCACUUUGGGA